CGGGUGAGUAACGCGUGAGGAACCUGCCUCAAAGAGGGGGACAACAGUUGGAAACGACUGCUAAUACCGCAUAAGCCCACGGCUCGGCAUCGAGCAGAGGGAAAAGGAGUGAUCCGCUUUGAGAUGGCCUCGCGUCCGAUUAGCUGGUUGGUGAGGUAACGGCCCACCAAGGCGACGAUCGGUAGCCGGACUGAGAGGUUGAACGGCCACAUUGGGACUGAGACGCGGCCCAG
rnacentral:rRNA from 1 species